rnacentral:rRNA from 1 species
AAAAAGUAACGGAGGCGCCCAAAGGUUCCCUCAGAAUGGUUGGAAAUCAUUCGCAGAGUGUAAAGGCACAAGGGAGCUUGACUGCGAGACCUACAAGUCGAGCAGGGACGAAAGUCGGGCUUAGUGAUCCGGUGGUUCCGCAUGGAAGGGCCAUCGCUCAACGGAUAAAAGCUACCCCGGGGAUAACAGGCUUAUCUCCCCCAAGAGUCCACAUCGACGGGGAGGUUUGGCACCUCGAUGUCGGCUCAUCGCAUCCUGGGGCUGUAGUCGGUCCCAAGGGUUGGGCUGUUCGCCCAUUAAAGCGGUACGCGAGCUGGGUUCAGAACGUCGUGAGACAGUUCGGUCCCUAUCCGUCGUGGGCGCAGGAAAUUUGAGAGGAGCUGUCCUUAGUACGAGAGGACCGGGAUGGACGCACCGCUGGUGUACCAGUUGUCUUGCCAAAGGCAUCGCUGGGUAGCUAUGUGCGGAAGGGAUAAGUGCUGAAAGCAUCUAAGCAUGAAGCCCCCCUCGAGAUGAGAUUUCCCAUAGCGUCAAGCUAGUAAGAUCCCUGAAAGAUGAUCAGGUUGAUAGGUCUGAGGUGGAAGCGUGGCGACACGUGGAGCUGACAGAUACUAAUAGAUCGAGGACUUAACCACAUUUG